rnacentral:rRNA from 1 species
GAGCGAACGGGGAGUGACACUCGCAACGCCUGUGACAAACC